rnacentral:rRNA from 1 species
UGGGGAAUAUUGCACAAUGGGGGAAACCCUGAUGCAGCGACGCCGCGUGAACGAAGAAGGUAUUCGUAUCGUAAAGUUCUGUCCUAUGGGAAGAUAAUGACAGUACCAUAGAAGAAAGCUCCGGCUAAAUACGUGCCAGCAGCCGCGGUAAUACGUAUGGAGCGAGCGUUGUCCGGAAUUAUUGGGCGUAAAGGGUACGCAGGCGGUUUAAUAAGUCGAAUGUUAAAGAUCGGGGCUCAACCCCGCAAAGCAUUGGAAACUGAUAAACUUGAGUAGUGGAGAGGAAAGUGGAAUUCCUAGUGUAGUGGUGAAAUACGUAGAUAUUAGGAGGAAUACCCGUAGCGAAGGCGACUUUCUGGACACAAACUGACGCUGAGGUACGAAAGCGUGGGGAGCAAACAGG